rnacentral:rRNA from 1 species
CCUACGGGUGGCAGCAGUCGAGAAUCUUUCACAAUGGGGGAAACCCUGAUGCUGCGACGCCGCGUGGGGGAAUGAAGGUCUUCGGAUUGUAAACCCCUGUCAUGUGGGAGCAAAUUAAAAAGAUCGUACCACAAGAGGAAGAGACGGCUAACUCUGUGCCAGCAGCCGCGGUACUACAGAGGUCUCAAGCGUUGUUCGGAAUCACUGGGCGUAAAGCGUGCGUAGGAUGGUUCGUAAGUCGUGUGUGAAAGGCGCGGGCUCAACCCACGGACGGCACAUGAUACUGCGAGACUAGAGUAAUGGAGAGGGAACCGGAAUGCUCGGUGUAGCAGUGAAAUGCGUAGAUAUCGAGAGGAACACUCGUGGCGAAGGCGGGUUCCUGGACAUUAACUGACGCUGAGGCACGAAGGCCAGGGGAGCGAAAGGGAUUAGAUACCCCAGUAGUC